AGCGAACGCUGGCGGCAGGCUUAACACAUGCAAGUCGAGCGGGCACUUUCGGGUGUCAGCGGCGGACGGGUGAGUAACGCGUGGGAACGUGCCCUCUGGUUCGGAAUAACUCAGGGAAACUUGAGCUAAUACCGGAUACGCCCUUUUGGGGAAAGGCUUGCUGCCGGAGGAUCGGCCCGCGUCUGAUUAGCUAGUUGGUGAGGUAACGGCUCACCAAGGCGACGAUCAGUAGCUGGUCUGAGAGGAUGAUCGGCCACACUGGGACUGAGACACGGCCCAGACUCCUCCGGGAGCCGGAAUUGGGGAUUAUUGGCAAUUGGGCGCAAGCUGGACCAACCCAUGCCGGGUGAGUGAUGAAGGCUUAGGGUUGUAAAGCUCUUUUAUCCGGGACGAUAAUGACGGUACCGGAGGAAUAAGCCCCGGCUAACUUCGUG
rnacentral:rRNA from 1 species